CCUGCCCAAUGUAUAAAAAAUAAAUGGCUGCGAAUAAAUUCGUACUAAGGUAGCAUAAUAAUUAGCCUUCUAAUUAAAGGAUAGAAUGAAUGGGUAAAUAAAGAAUAAUCUGUCUCUAUUUAUAAAAUAAAAAUUAAUCUAAAAGUGAAAAAGCUUUUAUAUAGUAAUAAGACAAAAAGACCCUGUUGAGCUUAAAUUAUAAUUUAAUAAUAUAAUUUUUAUUGGGGCAAUAAGGGUUAAUUAAAUCAAUCCUAUUAAUAAGACUAAAAUCAAUAUAAGAUCCAAUUUAAUUGAAAAUUGAAUAAGUUACCACAGGGAUAACAGGUUUAUUUUUCUAAAGAGCCCAAAUCGAUAGAAAAGAUUGAUACCUCGAUGUUGGCUUAAAAUUUCUCUUUAAAGCAAAAUUUAAAGUAGUUGGUUU
rnacentral:rRNA from 1 species